rnacentral:rRNA from 1 species
AGUGAGAUUAGCUUGUUGGUGAGGUAACGGCCCACCAAACCUACGAUGGAUAGGGGUUCUGAGAGGAAGGUCCCCCACAUUGGAACUGAGACACGGUCCAAACUCCUACGGGAGGCAGCAGUGAGGAAUAUUGGUCAAUGGACGGAAGUCUGAACCAGCCAAGUAGCGUGAAGGAUGACUGCCCUAUGGGUUGUAAACUUCUUUUGUAUGGGAAUAAAGUGCGCCACGUGUGGUGUUUUGUAUGUACCAUUAUGAAUAAGCAUCGGCUAACUCCGUGCCAGCAGCCGCGGUAAUACGGAGGAUGCGAGCGUUAUCCGGAUUUAUUGGGUUUAAAGGGAGCGUAGGUGGGCUGGUAAGUCAGCUGUGAAAGUUUGCGGCUCAACCGUAAAAUUGCAGUUGAUACUGUCAGUCUUGAGUACAGUAGAGGUUAGCGGAAUUCGUGGUGUAGCGGUGAAAUGCUUAGAUAUCACGAAGAACUCCAAUUGCGAAGGCAGCUGACUAGACUGUUACUGACACUGAUGCUCGAAAGUGUGGGUAUCAAACAGGAUUAGAUACCCUGGUAGUCCACACAGUAAACGAUGAAUACUCGCUGUUUGCGAUAUAC